CCCACAGGACAUGGCACCCCAGUUCAGAAGAAUCAGGUAACAGAAAUGUAGGCCAACAUGAAGGACAUCACCCAACAUAGCCACAGCCUUCUGUAAGUCACACAGAGGCAGGCCAACCAUAGAUGUCUGGUCUGGGUGGCUGCAAGGCUCAGCCACUGAGCCAGGCUCUAGGGAUCAUCAAGAAACCCAGUGAGACCAGCUCUGGGCCAUAGAACCCGGAUGGCCUCCACCGUUCUCCUUCAGUCUAUUAAAAGCCUCGAGUCCCCUGCCACAUCCUGAUUCUCAUUCAGAAAGCAGAUUGACCUCGGGCACACGCCUUAUUUCCCUAGGUUGUGUCUGCUUUUUUCUUGAAUGGAAUUGUUAUCUCAGAAAUAUUCAAAUGCUUAUACACAGUGGAGCCCCUGACCUUCAGUGCAUGACCAGCACCACACCCAUGGGCCCCAGGGAGGCCCUGCAUCUCCAGGAAAAGCAGCAAUCAUUCCCUUCUGGGUUCUGAUGCCAGGAGUGGCAACUCCCCUCCAGAGUGCUGUGCUGUGCGCUGCUCUCCCUACAAGGGGAGGGUCAGAAGUCAUCACAAGAGGAAGUGAGGCCUCGGCCCUGGCCUCCCCUCU
rnacentral:lncRNA from 1 species